CAUUGAUGGUUUGCGUGCAAAACAGCGAAAUAACUUUUUGUUAACAGUGGAAGAAGUUAAUUUUUUAAAUCGUAAGGAUUUGUCAUCUAGUUAAAAGUUAUUGGUACUGUUUUUUUUUUAAACAAUUUAUAAUUAGAUAAAUUUUGACAUGCUUAUUUUACGAUUAGUAUUAGCGUGAGACCAUAAUCGGCAGACUAACCUGAGGCCGAGGAACAGGCGUUAAAUAAGGAACGCAAAAGUUAAAUUUGGCUGUUAUUCAAACAGUUUUAUAAUAGAAAUAUUGUUUCAGUCACCACAGCAUCUUUGAUAUUCCACCUAGCCUGAUGAACCUUGUUAUUGGGCACAUUGGCACUGGAUAUAGCAGAUGAAUUGGGACAAAAGAAGAUUAACUGUUAGAUUUGAAGCAAAAUGGAUUUCAACUAUGUUUACACAAAGCAAAGGAAAGACUUUGGAAAGCAGUGUAACUUUCUUGAUACACCAGCAUACACACUAGUGGACAUCGUUCCAGAUAAACGCUUAACAGAAAAUUUCAUUUCGAUGAAAUGUGUUGACACUGGCAUUCAGUGCGCAAGUGAGAUGUCAGAACAUGAGGUAGGACUGAAAUUAAA